GGCUGGCAGGGGUGGAGAGGGCUGUGAUAGCUGCUCGGAAGCAGUUUGCUCUGUGCAGACAGAUGUUUGCGGUUGCAGAGGCAGCUGGGUGGCAGGUGUCAGUCACAGCUAGAAAGCACGAAAUGUGAUCGCACUUUUCCUCAGCUCCAGUGUAGAAAUCAGUGCUCUGAGCAUUGCCAUGAAGGAAUUACUGCCUCUGCUGUCCCUACUCGUGGCUCUGAGAUGGACCCUGGCUCAGAUUUUCCAGCCCCCUUGGCUCACAUACAUGGAAGGAGAAAGGAUCUUGAUCCCAUGCAGCCAAAAUGCCACCUCCCAUGACAUGAUGUCUUGGUACAAACAGCCCCAGCAGGGCCAGGGGGCACCGAGCUUUCUAGGGAUUGGGCAUGACGGCUCCUCCACCGCCGGAGAAUUCACCAUGGCUGUGGACAAGGCCUCCCGCUCCACCAACCUCACCCGAGACGGAGCUGGCCUGAGCGACACCAGCAUCUACUACUGCACUGUGAGACACAGCGAGGGAAACCCAAGUGCCAGCUGCACAGAAACCCACAGCCUGGCUUCCUGCUGGGCCCUCCUGAGCCAGCCCAGCGUUGGGAAUGCCGGGCACACCAUGAGACCAAUGUCUUCACAAACGUCCACAGAUUUUGGGCCCUACGUGGGCCAUGGACAGCCUGGCAGUCAGAGGCACCCAGUUGCUCCCCAGCUCAAGAGUGUGCAGCUGAGCAUCCUCUUCUGCCAACCUAGCUGGGAUUUCCCAGCAAACCUGAGCACCUAA